rnacentral:lncRNA from 1 species
AAAAAGUUUGGGAAGCUCUUUAGCAAUAUCAGCUAAAAGGAUAUGAAAUCACAGGUGAUAGCAGUUGUCAUUCAGUAAUUUCCUACAAGCAGCACCCCAAAGGAAAUAUAGUCCUAAUCUUUACUAUCCACUUCUAAAUUUAAUGUGAAUUUCAUACAUGUUAUUAGUUGUUUUCUUUAUAAUUUUAUAAAAAUUAUUCAUCGGGAGUUUAACUUCCACUUCCAUGCUAUCGGAUGUGUUGGGCUCCAUGCAAGAACUUGGAAGAAAAACAGGCAGGAAUGCAUUUGCAUAAUGACCCAGAUCAUCAUUUUCUGCAACUGAGAAUUAUAUUUCAUCAUUGCUUCUAGAAGUCUGCAAUUCUUUACUUUUCUUUGGUGCAUUAUUAUCUAGGUGCCAUCACUGGAUAAUGUGGAGUGACUAGAGAAGUCACAUAUCACUGUAAGGUACAGUUAGGGUAACACUUUAGAGGUUUAUUAUUUUUAAAAAACUUUUCUUGAACUCCUGGCCAACAUGAGACGGGGUUUCACCCUGUUAGCCAGGAUGGUCUCGAUCUCCUGACCUCGUGAUCCACCUGCCUCGGCCUCCCAAAGUGCUGGAAUUACAGGCGUGAGCCACCGCGCCCGGCCUAGAUUGAUAUUCUUAAGCAAUAAAAGUUUACUGGUUGUCCUAUUUGCCAUAUUAUUGAAACUUGGAAAGGAUAAUUUGAAACAAGGUUUGAAGUUAACUGAAAUAUGGAGAUUGAAUUUAUACUCAAUUCUUGUGAAAAGUCUUGCUUAAUAAGUAUGAUUAAACUUUGCUUCUU